UAAAAUCCUUAUCCUUAACUAAUUUAUCGUAUUUAUGGAGGUGAGAUUGAUUGGUUAGUUUUAGCUCUUUAUUCUUAAGGCUUAUUGUCUUAUAUUCAUCCAUUAAUUCAUUAAACGCAUCAUAUAACUCAUCAAAGGUAAAAUCUAAAUGCGUUUCAGAUGUUACCUCAUUUUCGUUUGCCAUAAAGCAUAGAUUGGCCUUUUCUUCUUGUUCC
rnacentral:lncRNA from 1 species